rnacentral:rRNA from 1 species
GUCUUUUAGAUUAUAAUUUAAAGUCUGACCUGCCCUAUGAAAUUUUAAAUGGCCGCAGUAUUUUGACUGUGCAAAGGUAGCAUAAUAAUUAGUUUUUUAAUUGAAAGCUGGAAUGAAAGGUUGAACGAGAAAAUAUCUGUCUCAAUUUAAUUUAAUUAGAAUUUUAUUUUUUAGUAAAAAAGCUAAAAUAAUUUUUAAAGACGAGAAGACCCUAUAGAGUUUUAUAUUUAAAUAAAUUGUUUUUUAGAAUUUAAUUUUUAUUAAAAAUAUUUUAUUGGGGUGAUAAAUAAAUUUGAUAAACUUUAUUAUUUAAGAACAUUAAUAUAUGAUUAUAUGAUCCAUAUAAGUGAUUAAAGAUUAAAUUACCUUAGGGAUAACAGCGUUAUUUUUUUUAAGAGUUCUAAUCGAAAAAAAAGAUUGCGACCUCGAUGUUGGAUUAAAAUUUAUUUAUGGUGUAGAAGCUAUAAAAUUAGGUCUGUUCGACCUUUAAAAUUUUACAUGAUCUGAGUUUAAACCGGUGUGAGCCAGGUUGGUUUCUAUCUUAAAACAAUUAAAAUAUUUUAGUACGAAAGGACCAAAUAUUUAUAAAAUUUAUUUUUUUUUGAAUAC